CCUACGGGUGGCAGCAGUGAGGAAUAUUGGUCAAUGGACGCAAGUCUGAACCAGCCAUGCCGCGUGCAGGAAGACGGCUCUAUGAGUUUUAAACUGCUUUUGUACGAGGGUAAACGCAGGUACGCGUAUCUGUCUGCACGUAUCGUACGAAUAAGGAUCGGCUAACUCCGUGCCCGCAGCCGCGGUAAUCCGGAGGAUUCAAGCGUUAUCCGGAUUUAUUGGGUUUAAGGGGUGCGUAGUCGGUCGGAUAAGUUAGAGGUGAAAUCCCGAGGCUCAACUUCGGAAUUGCCUCUGAUACUGUGCGGCUAGAGAGUAGUUGCGGUAGGCGGAAUGUAUGGUGUAGCGGUGAAAUGCUUAGAGAUCAUACAGAACACCGAUUGCGAAGGCAGCUUACCAAGCUACGUCUGACGUUGAGGCACGAAAGCGUGGGGAGCAAACAGGAUUAGAUACCCCUGUAGUC
rnacentral:rRNA from 1 species